ACUCUAUAUGUGUUCAGUCGUCAUGUCCUCAUAUUGUUUUAGGCUGUGAAAGACUUGAGUGUGUUUCAGUUGAUGUCCCCAUAUUGUCUGACCCAACGACUGUAGAGUGUGUGUUACGUGUCCUCAUAAUGUUGGGUAGCAGAUGCUGUACAGUGUUAGCAGUUUCUAUAGAGUUUGGCAUAAUGAGCCUAGAUCCUCCUGUGAAUUAUGUUUACUGAAACAAGUAUGAUCAUUUGUUCAUUAAUUAGUCAGGAUUUAUAGUAGAGAAUAUGUCUGACACUGUAUUGUUGUGUUUUGUUGCAGACACCAAGUGUUCAGAUCCUGACUCAACCUUCUACAGACCAAGAAGCAAGCGAGAGAUCCACUUCAUCCUUCCAACAGACACCAAGUGUUCAGAUCCUGACUCAACCUUCUACAGACCAAGAAGCAAGCGAGAGAUCCACUUCAUCCUUCCAACAGACACCAAGUGUUCAGAUCCUGACUCAACCUUCUACAGACUAAGAAGCAAGCGAGAGAUCCACUUCAUCCUUCCAACAGACACCAAGUGUUCAGAUCCUGACUCAACCUUCUACAGACUAAGAAGCAAGCGAGAGAUCCACUUCAUCCUUCCAACAGACACCAAGUGUUCAGAUCCUGACUCAACCUUCUGCAGACCAAGAAGUGAGCAAGAGAUCCACUUCAUCCUUCCAACAGACACCAAGUGUUCAGAUCCUGACUCAACUUUCUGCAGACCAAGAAGUGAGCAUGAGAUCCACUUCAUCCUUCCAACAGGUCAGCCAGACCACUGGAGGUGUCUCCUUCCACCAGACAGCUACUGCAAGGUUGAACAUCCCUUGGUCGAUGAUGGUGGAUUUCAUGAUGGAAACUCUGCAAGCUUAAGUGACCAGAUCUCUACUGAUGAAUCUUCAGAUUGUACAGAUUAUGAAGAUAUUGACUAUGUUCCAGACUCAGGUGGCAAUUCCUCAGACACAAGUCUCUGUAGUAACGAACUGAGAAUCACAGAAUCUCUUGCUCCCAAAAAUUGUUCAAGGACAUGCCAGUGGGGAUAGCUACAGUACACAGUGGGGAGAGAAACCUACAAGUUUAAGUUUGUCACUGAGAAGCAGCAGUCAUAGCACUUCAGUGAUGAGUUGCAGUAACAAUUCCCUGGAGGCAAGAUUUCUGUAUUUUCUGUUCUGUUUCAAUUGACAUAUUUUGCCAGCAAUUAAAAAAGAAAAAAUGGCAGAAAGUGUUCCAUGUCUUUAUUCACAUGAACAUGUACUACAAAAUUUAUAAAUGCAAUACAAUAAGACUUAAAAAGCAGACUGACCACAUUUUUUAGCUAUGUCUCAUUUUAAGUCUCUACAAAGCUUAGUUUUACUGUGUUGUAUUAACAUGUGAAUAUCUGACAUUUCUGUCAGAGGUUACCUGACUGAUGAGCAUGACUAUUGUACACCUGUGUCUAUUAUAUAGGUAUUUCAAACAUAUCCAACAGGAGCCAAGGUAAUAAUACAGACCCUACCCUUUCCUAGUCUUUAUAAGUCAUGUAUACAUGAAAAUUUUGUGUGUAUCCAUGGGUUUCACAAUUCACCUAAACAUGAAAUAUCAGUGUGUGAUUUUAUUGCACCUAUAAGUCACAUAAACCUGACAGUGUCCUCACAAGUAGCAUUAAAAUCAGGUUUGACCAAAAGUUUGCCCUAGCCAAAAUCUCAACAGAUGGGCAUAUUCCUGGAAGCAUGGGGAAGAAACACUUUGAUUCCCCAGCCUCUAGGACCUUGGGAAAGGCAUGUUCCCAUUUUUCACAUUUUUGUCUUAUGUACCGAUAUGUCCCGAAAACACGUAUGUGUGUGUGUGUGUGUGUGUGUGUGUUUCUCCAUGCUCCUUCACACCUUGCUUUCAUUAGUAAUUUGGUUGUUAACAGAGCUUAUGUUCUGAUGUGUGUGUGUGUGUGUGUGUGUGUGUGUGGAGUGAGUUCGUGAAGUUUUUUACCUACAUGUAAAUCAGUUUGUGGUUGCAUAACAAAUCUAAAAUGAUACAGUAUUUUCAGUUUCAGGUUGAGUUUCGUCAGUAUCAGAUUUCUACCUU
rnacentral:lncRNA from 1 species